rnacentral:rRNA from 1 species
AUGCUGGAGGUAUCAGAAGUGCGAAUGCUGACAUAAGUAACGAUAAAGCGGGUGAAAAGCCCGCUCGCCGGAAGACCAAGGGUUCCUGUCCAACGUUAAUCGGGGCAGGGUGAGUCGACCCCUAAGGCGAGGCCGAAAGGCGUAGUCGAUGGGAAACAGGUCAAUAUUCCUGUACUUGGUGUUACUGCGAAGGGGGGACGGAGAAGGCUAUGUUGGCCGGGCGACGGUUGUCCCGGUUUAAGCGUGUAGGCUGGUUUUCCAGGCAAAUCCGGAAAAUCAAGGCUGAGGCGUGAUGACGAGGCACUACGGUGCUGAAGCAACAAAUGCCCUGCUUCCAGGAAAAGCCUCUAAGCAUCAGGUAACAUCAAAUCGUACCCCAAACCGACACAGGUGGUCAGGUAGAGAAUACCAAGGCGCUUGAGAGAACUCGGGUGAAGGAACUAGGCAAAAUGGUGCCGUAACUUCGGGAGAAGGCACGCUGAUAUGUAGGUGAAGUCCCUCGCGGAUGGAGCUGAAAUCAGUCGAAGAUACCAGCUGGCUGCAACUGUUUAUUAAAAACACAGCACUGUGCAAACACGAAAGUGGACGUAUACGGUGUGACGCCUGCCCGGUGCCGGAAGGUUAAUUGAUGGGGUCAGCGCAAGCGAAGCUCUUGAUCGAAGCCCCGGUAAACGGCGGCCGUAACUAUAACGGUCCUAAGGUAGCGAAAUUCCUUGUCGGGUAAGUUCCGACCUGCACGAAUGGCGUAAUGAUGGCCAGGCUGUCUCCACCCGAGACUCAGUGAAAUUGAACUCGCUGUGAAGAUGCAGUGUACCCGCGGCAAGACGGAAAGACCCCGUGAACCUUUACUAUAGCUUGACACUGAACAUUGAGCCUUGAUGUGUAGGAUAGGUGGGAGGCUUUGAAGUGUGGACGCCAGUCUGCAUGGAGCCGACCUUGAAAUACCACCCUUUAAUGUUUGAUGUUCUAACGUGGACCCGUGAUCCGGGUUGCGGACAGUGUCUGGUGGGUAGUUUGACUGGGGCGGUCUCCUCCUAAAGAGUAACGGAGGAGCACGAAGGUUGGCUAAUCCUGGUCGGACAUCAGGAGGUUAGUGCAAUGGCAUAAGCCAGCUUGACUGCGAGCGUGACGGCGCGAGCAGGUGCGAAAGCAGGUCAUAGUGAUCCGGUGGUUCUGAAUGGAAGGGCCAUCGCUCAACGGAUAAAAGGUACUCCGGGGAUAACAGGCUGAUACCGCCCAAGAGUUCAUAUCGACGGCGGUGUUUGGCACCUCGAUGUCGGCUCAUCACAUCCUGGGGCUGAAGUAGGUCCCAAGGGUAUGGCUGUUCGCCAUUUAAAGUGGUACGCGAGCUGGGUUUAGAACGUCGUGAGACAGUUCGGUCCCUAUCUGCCGUGGGCGCUGGAGAACUGAGGGGGGCUGCUCCUAGUACGAGAGGACCGGAGUGGACGCAUCACUGGUGUUCGGGUUGUCAUGCCAAUGGCACUGCCCGGUAGCUAAAUGCGGAAGAGAUAAGUGCUGAAAGCAUCUAAGCACGAAACUUGCCCCGAGAUGAGUUCUCCCUGACUCCUUGA